AGGGAAUGCAAGAUGGGGGAAACAUCAACACGGCUUCGGUGGCGGCCUCUCCUACCUCAGUGACUUUAGUCCCAGGUCUAUUUAGAACUUCUAUUAAACUGUCAGCAAGAAUGGAAACCACAAAGGACAAUCUAUACUCCAUCAUUUAUAUUGACACUGAGAGGUACCAAGAAUAUCUUUAAAAGAGGGAAAAGAAAUGAAACAGUAUGGAGAAGAAUAUUAAUGCUCUGCGAUCAGCUGCCUCUGUUGCUUAUUCGCAUCAAUGGUGAAGGAGAUGUCAGGAGCACUUCUCUGCUGCGUCGGCUGCUGUAAA